GAAGCGAUGAAGGACGUGGCUACCGGCGAAACGUUUCGGGGAGUUGGAAGUAAGCUUUGAUCCGAAAGUAUCCGAAUGAGGAAACUCUAUAACUUCUUACUGAAUCUAUAAGUAAAGAAAGAGCAAACCUAGGGAAUUGAAACAUCUUAGUACCUAGAGGAAAAGAAAGUAAAAACGAUUCCCGGAGUAGUGGCGAACGAAAUGGGAACAGCCUAAACUUUUAAUCUUAGUAUUAAAAGAGUUGUGGGAUGAAGAAAACAGUAAUUUUUUCUAGAAAUUAGGUGAAAUAACUGGAAAGUUAUACCAAAGAAAGUGAUAGUCUUGUAACCAAAAAUUUCUUACAAAUUAUUUAUUCCCGAGUAGCAUGGGGCACGUGGAAUCCCGUGUGAAUCUGCGAGGACCACCUCGUAAGGCUAAAUAUUCCUGGAUGUCCGAUAGCGAAUAGUACCGCGAGGGAAAGGUGAAAAGAACCCCGGGAGGGGAGUGAAAUAGAACGUGAAAUUGCAAGCCCACAAACAGAAGGAGAACGACUUAGCGUUUAACUUCGUGCCUGUUGAAGAAUGUUCCGGCGACUUAUAGUUAGUGGCAGGUUAAAAUAGAGAUAUUGGAGCCAUAGUGAAAGCGAGCUUGAAUAGAGCGUUUGUCACUAGUUAUAGACCCGAACCCGGUUGAUCUAACCAUGGCCAGGAUGAAACUUAGGUAAUACUAUGUGGAGGUCCGAACCGACUGAUGUUGAAAAAUCAGCGGAUGAGUUGUGGUUAGGGGUGAAAUGCCAAUCGAAACCGGAGCUAGCUGGUUCUCCCCGAAAUGUAUUUAGGUGCAGCGGUUAAUAUUAUAGCGUAGGGGUAAAGCACUGUUUCGGUGCGGGCUGGUAAUUCGGUACCAAAUCGAGGCAAACUCUGAAUACUACGUGUACAGUUAACCAGUAAGACUAUGGGGGAUAAGCUUCAUAGUCAAGAGGGAAACAGCCCAGAUCACCAGCUAAGGCCCCUAAAUAAUUACUGAGUGAUAAAGGAAGUGGAAAGGCUUAGACAACCAGGAGGUUUGCUUAGAAGCAGCAAUCCUUUAAAAAGUGCGUAAUAGCUUACUGGUCUAGCAAUUCUGCGCCGAAAACUUACGGGACUAAGUAAUUUGCCGAAGCUGUGAGAUAAUAAAAAAUUUAUCUUUUCAGAUAAAAAAAAUUAUCGGUAGGGGAGCGUUCUGUGGUAGGUUGAAGUGUUAGCGAAAGCGGGCAUGGACGAAACAGAAGUGAGAAUGUCGGAUUGAGUAGCGAAAACAUUGGUGAGAAUCCAAUGCUCCGAAAACCUAAGGUUUCCUCCGCAAGGCUCGUCCACGGAGGGUGAGUCAGGUCCUAAGGUGAGGCUGAGAAGCGUAGUUGAUGGACAAUAGGUUAAUAUUCCUAUACUGAUUAUUACUGGUAUCGAGGGACGAAGAAGGCUAAACUAGCCAGAGAUUGGUUACUGGUUUAAGUAAUUGAGGUGUUGAAGACUAGAGAAAAUAGUCGGAGCUAAAAUACGAAUACAAGAUUUUAAAAAUCAAAGUAGUUGAUGUCAUACUUCCAAGAAAAGCUCGCUAUGCCUUAAGUAAUAAUCACCUGUACCUUAAACCGACACAGGUAGGUAGGUAGAGAAUACCAAGGAGCGCGGGAGAACCCUCCUUAAGGAACUCGGCAAAAUAGCUCUGUAACUUCGGAAGAAAGAGUGCCUUUUAGGCUGCAAUAUCAAGUUCCAAGCAACUGUUUAGCAAAAACACAGGUCUCCGCUAAGUUGUAAAACGACGUAUGGGGGCUGACGCCUGCCCAGUGCCGGAAGGUUAAAGAAGUCGGUUAGCGUAAGCAAAGCUGGUAACUGAAGCCCCGGUGAACGGCGGCCGUAACUAUAACGGUCCUAAGGUAGCGAAAUUCCUUGUCGGGUAAGUUCCGACCCGCACGAAUGGCGUAAUGAUUUGGAAGCUGUCUCGAGGAGGGACUCGGUGAAAUAGAACUGUCUGUGAAGAUGCGGACUACCUGCGCCUGGACAGUAAGACCCUAUGAAGCUUUACUGUAUCCUGAAAUUGGAUUUCGAUUUUUCUUGCGCAGAAUAGGUGGGAGACUAUGAGGCUAAUCUUUCGGGAAUAGCGGAGUCAUCAGUGAGAUACCACUCUGGAAAAAUUAAAAUUCUAACUUCAUACCGUAAGCCGGUUGAAAGACAGUUUCAGGUGGGCAGUUUGACUGGGGCGGUCGCCUCCCAAAAGGUAACGGAGGCGUACAAAGGUUUCCUCAGAUCGGUCAGAAAUCGAUCUUAGAGUGCAAAGGCAAAAGGAAGCUUAACUGUGAGACAAACAAGUCGAGCAGGGACGAAAGUCGGUCUUAGUGAUCUGACGAUGCUGUGUGGAAAGGUCGUCACUCAACGGAUAAAAGUUACUCUAGGGAUAACAGGCUGAUCUCCCCCAAGAGUUCUUAUCGACGGGGAGGUUUGGCACCUCAAAAGGGGGCAAAAUAUAGUAAUAUAUUUUGACAUUUUAGCUGUAUGCUGGAAACUCCGUCCACGAAAAGUGGUUUAGUAUCUUAAAAUACUUUUUUGAAAAGAAAAAGUAAAAAUUUUUAAGUGCGGACAAUCAGCAGGGAAGUUUACUUUUGGAAAAUGUUUGAAACUAUUUUUCUUUGGUAUAACCCCUCAACGACUACACGCUGAACAACCUAAUCAUCUAUUAGGUUGAUGAUAUAGUCUGAUCUUUUAGGCGACUAAAAGGACUUUUUCAAAGUCAUAAAAUUACUUGAAUUAAAAAGUUUUUUAUAUGAUAUCGAAUUAUGACUUUUCAAGGAACUGAUUUAUUAAUUGGAACAUUACUUGGUGAUGGAAAUUUGCAGACAAAUAAUGGUCAAAUGUGGCAAUAUCGUGCUAUUCAUAAAGCUGCUCAUCAACCCUAUAUUAUGCAUAAGUAUGAAAUUUUGAAAGAUUUUUGUCAAACAGAACCUCAAUAUAGUUCAAUUUUUGAUAAAAGAACUCAAAAAAAUUAUCAUCGCUAUUCUUUCAAUACACUUUUCGUAGAGGAUUUUCGUUUUUAUGGAAAACUUUUUUAUAAAAAUGAAACUGGUACUUGGAAAAAACAAAUUCCUAAAGAUAUUCAAAAAUAUCUAACACCAAAAGCUUUAGCUUAUUGGUAUAUGGAUGAUGGAGCGUUAAAGUGGAAAGGAAAGUCAAAUGCAGUUAGAUUAUGUACUGAUUCGUUUUCGAUCGAUGAAGUAAAUCUUUUAAAAAAAGCACUUGAAACCAAAUUUCAAUUAAAAGUUUGUACUCAAAUGAAAAAUAACAUAACUCGAUUAUCGAUUUUAGAAGAAUCUUAUCCUCAGUUAAAUCAACUGAUACUACCUCAUUUACUUCCAUGUAUGUACUAUAAAUUUCCUGAUGGAAAUAAUGGAAUUUAUGAAGGUGAAGAUAUUUCUUCUGAUAUUUUUAACACGUUUCAAGAACGUGUUCUAUAAAAACAGAAUUAAUAGGAAAAUUUUAUUAACAUAAUGCGAUGUCGGCUCAUCGCAUCCUGGGGCGGAAGUACGUCCCAAGGGUUGGGCUGUUCGCCCAUUAAAGCGGUACGUGAGCUGGGUUCAGAACGUCGCGAGACAGUUCGGUCCAUAUCCGGCGUGGGCGUUAGAGUAUUGAGAGUGACCUUUCUCUAGUACGAGAGGGCCGAGAAAGACAUACCUCUAGUGUACCAGUUAUCGUGCCAACGGUACAUGCUGGGUAGCUAUGUAUGGUUAGGAUAACCGCUGAAAGCAUCU
rnacentral:rRNA from 1 species